GGAGCCAAGAAGAAAAUGAAGAUCAAAUAUUUCUAAUAGAAGAAAGCAACAACAGUGUUUAGCUUGAGAUCUCACAUAAAAAACAGCAAACCCCACACAUCCUUUGCAAUCUGAACAGUUGUGGAAUGGACUGUAGAAUAAAAAAUAGUUCAUGGAACACAUCAACAAAUAACUUUGCCCAUUUUUGAGAACAUGACUUUUUAAUGCUGGCCUUACUGGGGAAGCUGAGCUCCUGGAAAUGUAACAAUAGUGAAGGAAAGAAAACCAGCACUGCAUUUAAUUAUCCUGUGAUUCCAGGUGGCCUACACUUCUCCAUGCCUGUUAGCCACUGAAUGCUAUCGGAACUGCUUAGCUGAAAGCUGCCUUUGCAUGUUGAUGGGCAUCGCAAAUACUCCUGCAGAGUUGUCUUUCAUGUCAAGACAAUAUCAAGCACACUAAAACAUCACCAUAUGUCCUUCCCUCCACUUCUCCC